CCUACGGGUGGCAGCAGUGGGGGAUAUUGCACAAUGGGGGGAACCCUGAUGCAGCGACGCCGCGUGGGUGAAGAAGCGCCUCGGCGCGUAAAGCCCUGUCAGCAGGGAAGAAAAUGACGGUACCUGAAGAAGAAGCCCCGGCUAACUACGUGCCAGCAGCCGCGGUAAUACGUAGGGGGCAAGCGUUAUCCGGAUUUACUGGGUGUAAAGGGAGCGCAGGCGGCACGGCAAGCCUGAUGUGAAAGCCCGCGGCCCAACCGCGGGACUGCAUUGGGAACUACCGGGCUGGAGUGCCGGAGAGGUAGGCGGAAUUCCUAGUGUAGCGGUGAAAUGCGUAGAUAUAUGGAAGAACACCAGUGGCGAAGGCGGCCGCCUGGCCUGUUACUGACGCUGAGGCACGAAAGCGUGGGGAGCAAAUAGGAUUAGAUACCCGGGUAGUC
rnacentral:rRNA from 1 species